rnacentral:rRNA from 1 species
CAAUAGCGUAUAUUAAAGUUGUUGCAGUUAAAAAGCUCGUAGUUGGAUUUCUGGUAGGAGUGACCGUUCCGAACUUGAUUGUUCGUGUAUUGUGUUUUCUCCAGCCAUCCUUGUGGAGAACUUUUCUUGCAAUAAUUUGUAGGGAUUGGGACCCGCAUCGUUUACUGUGAAAAAAUUAGAGUGUUUAAAGCAGGCAAUCGCUUGAAUACAUUAGCAUGGAAUAAUAAGAUAGGACUUUGGUACUAUUUUGUUGGUUUGCAUACCAAAUUAAUGAUCAACAGGAACAGUUUGAGGAUAUUCGUAUGAACAUGUCAGAGGUGAAAUUCUUGGAUUUUGAUCAGACGAACUACUGCGAAAGCAUUUAUCAAGGAUGUUUUCAUUAA